CCUUACCUACCCUUGACAUGUCUGGAAGCUUUAAGAGAUUAAAGUGUGCUCGCAAGAGAACCGGAACACAGGUGCUGCAUGGCUGUCGUCAGCUCGUGUCGUGAGAUGUUGGGUUAAGUCCCGCAACGAGCGCAACCCUUGUCAUUAGUUGCUACGAAAGGGCACUCUAAUGAGACUGCCGGUGACAAACCGGAGGAAGGUGGGGAUGACGUCAAGUCCUCAUGGCCCUUAUGGGUAGGGCUUCACACGUCAUACAAUGGUCGGGACAGAGGGUCGCCAACCCGCGAGGGGGAGCCAAUCCCAGAAACCCGAUCGUAGUCCGGAUUGCAGGCUGCAACUCGCCUGCAUGAAGUCGGAAUCGCUAGUAAUCGCGGAUCAGCAUGUCGCGGUGAAUACGUUCCCGGGUCUUGUACACACCGCCCGUCACACCAUGGGAGUGGGUUUUACCAGAAGUAGUUAGCCUAACCGCAAGGAGGGCGAUUACCACGGUAGGAUUCAUGACUGGGGUGAAGUCGUAACAAGGUAGGCGUAGUGCU
rnacentral:rRNA from 1 species